AAUUUGUUGAAUCAUAUUGUCUGAAGAAUUCAAGAUGAGUUUUCUCUCUCUAAAAUUUUCUAUCUCUAGAAUUUUCUCUCUCUAAAAUAUUCUCUCUCUUGAUUGAUUCUCUCUCUAAAAAGGUUAGUGAAUGAAGAAAUUUCUUUUAAUAGUCUUGAUCUGAUUCUAAUGAAGAACCCUGAUCCAUGGUUGUCAGACAGUGUACUGGCACCCAUCUUGAUCAGACCAUGAAUCUUUAGAUUUGAUCAUCCAUGAUUCCGAUCUAACCAUGACUUGAUUUGAUCACGUUGAUUUCACCAAUCGAGAUAUUGGAUCAAUCGUAAUGUUGGAUUGUGUCACCUGAUCAAUUCAAAUUGUACCUCAUGAAUUCUCUCUCC
rnacentral:lncRNA from 1 species